ensembl:snoRNA
UCUCUGUGAUGAUCAAGCUUUUGAGCCGCUGUGUCUGGGCCACUGAUGGUCCGUGAUGGAGCUGAGGAUCUGAGCGG